rnacentral:lncRNA from 1 species
GUUUCUUACCUGCAGCCCACGACGUCUGAGAAUGUUUGGCUCGUCCAUUGUAGUAUAAAUUAUGAUUAUACCGCUGACUCCCUUUUUCCAAUUUAAUUCAACCCAUACUGCGUCCUCCUGUAUUAUACGCUUCACUGCGACUGGAUGAGAACUGAACACAUGUCUAUCGCGGACGCGACUAAGGUUUCAUCACAAAACGGAGAAUUUCGUUUAAUUGCCAGCCGCCCGGUGACCUGGCCAGCCGUGAGAAUUGGGAAUGAAUGUGCAGGGAGGGACUUCCGAAAAAUCGCGUAAAGUGGCAGUGCGGGGACCCUAUAUCUCAUUGAUCCUAUGCAACCUUUUUCCAACCCCUGUCUCACUCGUUUUUUUCCCAGUCCACCUGGCCGUGCUGCUGCUCCAGUUUCAACUGUUCUGCCUGCGGCUAUGGAACCCUGACCUGUUCACCGGACGUGCUUGUUGCACCCUCGACAACUACUAUGAUUAUUAUUAUUUGACCAUGCUGGUCAUUUAUGAACAUUUUAACAUUUUAACAUUUUGACCAUGUUCUGUUAUAAUAUCCACCCUGCACAGCCAGAAGAGGACUGGCC